CUGCUCAACACUAAGAAACUAAGAAAUAAUAGAGUUAAUUCAUGAAAUACAUGGGAAAACAUAUCGAUUUGUAAAAGGAAAGUAAAUGGGAGUGUUUCAAUGCGAAAUAUUUGGGAAGUAUUUCGUUCUGUAAUAAGGAAAUGCUUUCUACUGUCAUAUAUGGGAUGCGAAGACAAUGGGGUUGGCCUAGGCCAAUGCCUUGUCAACGGCUGUGGUUGCGGUUGCGGUCUGAGGCUGUUGCCGGUGAGCGCGAUAUGCCAAACGCCAGGUAAUUUGAUGCCCCACUGCCCCAAGGAGCAAGGCAUGGAAAUAAACCAAGCAGAGACUCUUGAACUAAGAUUAUGCUUGGCCGAAAGCCGGACCAAAUUGACAGCAGACUUGGGAAAGGCGCGGGCAUAUGUAAAUGUCAAAUAAAUUCUUUUGAAAUGUCAUAAACCGGCGA